rnacentral:rRNA from 1 species
AUGAGCGGGGCGGCGGAGGAGGCGGACUCGCCGCCGACGCACAUGUCCGAGGACUCCCCCGGCUCCUCCUCCUCCGGCGGCAGCGGCGGCGGCAGGCGGACGCCGGAUCUGAGGGGCGGCGACAACGGCGGCGGCCCGCGCGCCUCCUCCUCCUCCUCCUCGGCGCCGCCCGACCAGGUCCUGGACAACGUGCUGGAGAGCGUGCUCGAGUUCCUCACCGCGGCCCGCGACCGCAACGCCGCCUCGCUCGUCUGCCGCUCCUGGUACCGCGCCGAGGCGCAGACGCGCCGCGAGCUCUUCAUCGGCAACUGCUACGCCGUCGACCCGCGCCGCGCCGUCGCCCGCUUCCGCGCCGUCGCCGCCGUCGUGCUCAAGGGCAAGCCGCGCUUCGCCGACUUCAGCCUCCUCCCCGACGGCUGGGGCGCCAACGUCAAGCCCUGGCUGGAGGCGCUCGGCCCCGCCUACCCGUGCCUCGAGCGCAUCUGCCUCAAGCGCAUGACCGUCACCGACGACGACCUCGGCCUCGUCGCGCGCUCCUUCCCGGGGUUCCAGGAGCUCUCCCUCGUCUGCUGCGACGGCUUCAGCACCCUCGGCCUCGCCGUCAUCGCCGAGCGUUGCCGGCACCUGAGGGUUCUGGAUCUGAUCGAGGACUAUGUGGAUCAGGAGGACGAAGCAGUGGACUGGAUCUCCAAGUUCCCAGUGUCAAACACAUCCCUAGAGUCCCUCAUGUUUGACUGCGUUGGUGCCCCAUUCAACUUUGAGGCCCUGGAGGCCCUUGUGGCACGCUCGCCCUCUCUUCGCCGGCUGCGUGUGAACCACCACGUUUCAGUGGAGCAGCUCCGCCGUCUCAUGGCGCGGGCUCCGCAGCUCACACACCUUGGCACUGGGGCCUUUCGUCCUGAGGCUCCACAAGGUGAGGGCAUGUCGGUGUCUGAACUCGCGCCCUCUUUUGCAGCCUCGACGUCUAUAGUCUGCCUCUCUGGAUUCCAGGAGGUCAACCCUGAAUACCUUCCAGCAAUCUACCCAGUGUGUGGUAAUCUCACCUCCCUUAACGUUAGCUUUGCAAGCCUGACUGCUGAGGAUCUGACACCAGUCAUUCGCCAAUGCCACAAACUUCAGACAUUCUGGGUUCUUGAUACUGUGGGUGAUGAAGGCCUCAGGGCUGUGGCCGAGACAUGCUCUGAUCUUCGUGAGCUGCGAGUAUUUCCGCUGGAUGCCACCGAGGACUCUGAUGGGUCUGUGUCAGAUGUUGGGCUUCAGGCUAUAUCCGAAGGUUGCCGAAAGCUUGAAUCCAUACUUUACUUUUGCCAGCGGAUGACAAAUGCUGCGGUCGUAGCUAUGUCCAAUAACUGCCCUGACCUUGUGGUGUUCCGUCUUUGCAUCAUGGGUCGCCACCGCCCUGAUCGCAUUACUGGGGAGCCCAUGGAUGACGGCUUUGGUGCGAUAGUGAAGAACUGCAAGAAACUUACUAGGCUCUCUGUCUCUGGCCUGCUCACUGAUAAGGCAUUUGCAUACAUUGGGCAAUAUGGCAAACUAAUAAAGACUUUGUCUCUUGCCUUCUCGGGGAACAGUGACCUGUCGCUUCAGUUUUUGUUCGAGGGAUGCACUCGGUUACAGAAGCUAGAGGUCAGAGAUAGCCCUUUCAGUGACAGGGGAUUGCUUUGUGGUCUGGAUUAUUUCUACAAUAUGAGGUUCCUGUGGAUGAAUUCAUGCAGGCUAACCAUGAGGGGCUGUAGGGAGGUAGCUCAGCGGAUGCCUAACUUGGUCGUUGAAGUAAUGGAGGAGCAAAAUGAGGACAAGGUGGAAACAGAGACCGUUGAUAAGUUGUACCUGUACCGAUCACUAGCAGGGCCAAGGGGUGAUGCGCCGCCAUUGGUGAAAAUUUUGUAG